rnacentral:rRNA from 1 species
GAUGAACGCUGGCGGCGUGCCUAAUACAUGCAAGUCGAGCGAACGGACGAGAAGCUUGCUUCUCUGAUGUUAGCGGCGGACGGGUGAGUAACACGUGGAUAACCUACCUAUAAGACUGGGAUAACUUCGGGAAACCGGAGCUAAUACCGGAUAAUAUUUUGAACCGCAUGGUUCAAAAGUGAAAGACGGUCUUGCUGUCACUUAUAGAUGGAUCUGCGCUGCAUUAGCUAGUUGGUAAGGUAACGGCUUACCAAGGCAACGAUGCAUAGCCGACCUGAGAGGGUGAUCGGCCACACUGGAGCUGAGACACGGUCCAGACUCCUCCGGGAGGCAGCAGUAGGGAAUCUUCCGCAAUGGGCGGAAGCAUGACGGAGCAACGCCGCGUGAGUGAUGAAGGUCUUCGGAUCGUAAAACUCUGUUAUUAGGGAAGAACAUAUGUGUAAGUAACUGUGCACAUCUUGACGGUACCUAAUCAGAAAGCCACGGCUAACUACGUG